GACGAACGCUGGCGGCGUGCUUAACACAUGCAAGUCGAACGGAAAGGCCCUGCUUUUGUGGGGUGCUCGAGUGGCGAACGGGUGAGUAACACGUGAGUAACCUGCCCUUGACUUUGGGAUAACUUCAGGAAACUGGGGCUAAUACCGGAUAGGAGCUCCUGCUGCAUGGUGGGGGUUGGUAAGUUUCGGCGGUUGGGGAUGGACUCGCGGCUUAUCAGCUUGUUGGUGGGGUAGUGGCUUACCAAGGCUUUGACGGGUAGCCGGCCUGAGAGGGUGACCGGCCAAAUUGGGACUGGAAUACGGCCCAGACUCCUACGGGAGGCAGCAGUGGGGAAUAUUGCACAAUGGGCGGAAGCCUGAUGCAGCAACGCCGCGUGCGGGAUGACGGCCUUCGGGUUGUAAACCGCUUUCGCCUGUGACGAAGCGUGAGUGACGGUAAUGGGUAAAGAAGCACCGGCUAACUACGUG
rnacentral:rRNA from 1 species